rnacentral:lncRNA from 1 species
AUAUCUGACUUUCUUUCGUGAGCAUCACCUAUAUGUCUCAUUAAUGUACUCGUACCCCCUUACUUGCCUCCACUUUUAUGCUUAUAUAUUUGUUGAUAAAUAUUGCAUUGCACCUCAGUAUCUGAUAUACGUUCAAAAAAUUGUCAUGUAAUACUAGUUGUUUUACGAGCUCUUGGGGCACGGGGAGGACGGCGAGGGAGAUUAA